UAUUUUUUUGAAGACGUUCCUCAAAAUUUUAGUUGACGCCUUUUAAAAUGCCGCAAAUUCUAUAUGCACUCUAUGAAAGCAGACAACACGUUUUCGGCAAUAACUAAUGCCGAGUUUACCGUUUAUGUAGUAGCAUUUGCCUUGGAAUCCCCGAAACGUUCAUUUGGUAGGAUAUGAGAAUAACGUUCGUUCUUUAGAAAUGAUGAGACGUAAUCGUACUCGUUGAUCGUGUCUUAAUGGAACCGUAUUGGAAUUGAAAAGGCUACUACCCCGACAGGCAAAUUUACAAUGUAUAGUCCCCUCCAGGUAUUCGUGCCGCAAAUAAAUUAUUCUACUUGCUUACACUACUUUCAUGAAAUACAGGGGCACAUGGCGUUUGUGUCUGGUUGUUUAUUCGAAUCGUUACGGAACUCGAUACAUACUGGCAUUCUUCGCGAUACGGUUAUAUGAAGUCGUCAUACAUUUGUUCAGUGAGGUUAGGUAUUCGUGCACGUGUCGCGCAUGCGUCGUAUUCAACCACGUGGUUGGUGCGUGUUGUAUGCUACGCAGUAGCAGCUUAAUAAGUAGUCUGGUACUGUUACAAGCAUGCUAUUCAUGCUUGUAUAUAUAUAUAUUGUUUCUUACAUAUUCGGUAAAAGUUAUCUCAGAUAUUUAGCAUUUUACCUUAGAAUCAACAUUUGUCUUCGUUUAAUGUUAUAAAGUCCAAUAAAAGAGCCAAUGUCACAAAGAAAAGGUAAAUGAUCAAUGUCAUUGAAAAAUUUAGUGUUUGCUUUGAAUUUCGUGCUUUAUAACAACAUUCUACAGGCAGUUCUAUAACACUCUAGACAAUGCACGUGUUGUAAAAACACGUACAAGAUCGUGUUACGCACCGUAUGACAAACUAUUCACAUAUUCUAUUUAUAGAAAAUAUCGUGAUUACGAACUAUCGCGUGCAAUACUUUACACGUUGCAGUACUUUCCAAGAUGAUUCAAUCGAGUCAAUUAUAUUAACUUGUUUUUUUGUAUACGUAAAAAUUCAACUUAUGAUAUAAUGUUUUGAAUAAUACAUAAGGGUCUUUGCUCGUAUUGCAUAUUUAUAUCAAGUAUGAUUAAAUAACAAGGUCGAUCGAUAUAUAUAGUUUUCCUUCAGUUGAAAGAAAAAACAGGCUAAUUCAACAGAUGUAACUGAAAUUUCUUCAAUAUAUAAUUUAAUUGUUUAACCGCUAACUUCAUAUUUUGUACGAUGUACUUCUUUGUAGUUAAAUUCUAUACUACCAUCGACAUAACCACGCAAUUAUACACAAUUUUAUUUUGACCUUAUCAUCUACAAUGUUUAAAAUGAAAUCGCUUUUUACAUACUUAAUUAAGGAAAUUACAGCAUUACUCCUAAUUAAGAAAAUUCCAGUUUAAAUAUAUCAUACAAUGUAGUAGAACUGUUUAUUUAAAUAUAUAAAAUUAAAGGUAGGAUUUAAAUAUUUAUAGAUUGUUUAACAUGUAUACAAAAAGUCACUUUAUUUUAAAGCAAUUAUAGUAAUAAUGGGUUUUAUAAAUUGUUAGUUACUAUAUUACAUAUAGCAAUAAAUAUUUUAAAAAGUUGGAAAAAAUAUUCUACAUUAUUUUCACAGUAAUAAAGUGUAAUCUACUUCUAUUUUAUAUACAUAUUUAUACAAACUUAUGCAUGUACAGAAUAAAGAAUAUGCUUAUUAAUAAAUAUAACAUUCUUUGUAAAAAUUUAAUAUUACAAUCUUUAAGUAUUGAGUUGGAAAUGAGAUAGUGUGCAAUUAGUCGUUCCCCUGCAUUACAAUUUUCUCGUUGCUGUUGUUUGAUACUUAAAAAAGAAAGAAAAAAGAAGAAACGUUUAUAGAAACUAUAGCUUAUCUUCUUUUAACAUCACAGAAAAAUUGGUUUUAAUUACUGAUGCUUUCGCUAAAUUAAAGUGCAAUAUAUUUACCAAUAGAAUAUGUCAAGAAGCAAACAAUAUUGUUAUACUUUGAAUCAUACAUUAUUCUCUAAAAUAACUGUUCAGAAGUAUUAACAAUUUUUUCCCUUUAAUCUUAUCAGGCUUGCACUAUUCUUACACAUUCUUUAUCAACAUGUACACUUUAGCGAAUAGUAACUUAAAAGAAAAUUACACUAUAAAAUUUCUUAUAAGCAUACACAAAACUUGUAUUAUGAGUAAUGUGUUUGUUUUAAAUAAUAUGUAUACAAUAAUUACCUAACUUGUAGUCCUAUAAAUAUAUCAUGUAUAUUUUUAAUGUAUUGUAUAUCAACGAAAAUUGCACACUAUUAAUUAUGCAUUUGUGUAUUUUUUAUAAGAAGUUGAAUUUUAUACAAUAAUUUUCAUAUAAGUAAUAUGAGAAAAUAUUAACUAUCUUUUUUUUAUAAACAAGAAUUAUUCAGAUGUAGUACUUAAUAUAAUUUGAAAUGUAACUUAAACAUACAUAUUCACAAAAAUUUAUAUAUAUUCUUGAAAAAAUAAAUUUUUGCAACAAUUUUCAAUUCAUUCAUAUACGUAUUUCACAUUGUUUGCGUUUUCUGAAUUUAUCAAAGUAUUGUAUACUUGAUUAUUUAUUAAAUAAAUGUUCUUAAAAGAUCUUUACUUUUAUUUCAAAAAUAUUUUGAAGUGCAUAUUUUUCUUUGUUAAUACUGUGUUAGAUUUAAUAAUUUUUACCAUAAGUAAUUCUUAUUCAAAUUAUAACAUUAUGUAAGAAUUCCUUAAAAUAUAUUUAGUAUUCUUUCUAUUUAGAUGUAAUGCAGAUUUUUCUUUUCAAAUUUACAAUAUAUUUAAAGAAUGCCAAUCUAUAGAAAACUUUCAAAUUUCUCUAAUUUAACACAUACUUAAAGAAACAUUAAAUACAUUAACUUAAAUGUUUUGCAUAAAAGAUAUGACUAAAUUUUUAGAAUAAAUUUUAAAUAUGUUAUAAGUAUAAUAGUUCACAAAUUUUUCCUUGGUCACAUCAGUAUCUUACAUUAAUUAAAGUUUAAAAAUAUUUGAUUCAAAUAUAAUAUAGGGUGUGUUACUAGAAUCAACAACUAGGAUUUCUGUUUAUAUAAAGUAAAACAAUUCAACAUCUGAGACUAUGAACUACUAGCUAUACCUGAUUAGAUCUCCUACUUCUACGAGAAGAACUUGAAAAUAAUGGACGUGGUUUGUAUAAGUCAUCACUUGAAUAACGUUGACUGCUUCUAUGCCGG